rnacentral:rRNA from 1 species
GGGUGCGAUCAUACCAGCACUAAUGCACCGGAUUCCAUCAAAACUCCGAAGUUAAACGUGCUUGGGCGAGAGUAGUACUAAGAUGGGUGACCUCUUGGGAAGUCCUCGUGUUGCACACC